rnacentral:rRNA from 1 species
AACGAACGCUGGCGGCAUGCCUAACACAUGCAAGUCGAACGAGAUCUUCGGGUCUAGUGGCGCACGGGUGCGUAACGCGUGGAAAUCUGCCCUUUGGUUCGGAAUAACAGUUGGAAACGACUGCUAAUACCGGAUGAUGACGAAAGUCCAAAGAUUUAUCGCCAGAGGAUGAGCCCGCGUAGGUAUUAGCUAGUUGGUGUGGUAAAGGCGCACCAAGGCGACGAUCCUUAGCUGGUCUGAGAGGAUGAUCAGCCACACUGGGACUGAGACACGGCCCAGCCUCCUACGGGAGGAGGAAGUGGGAAAUAUGGAACAAUGGGCGAAAGCUUAAUCAAGCAAUGCCGCGUGAGUGAUAAAGGCCUUAGGUUUGAAAAGCUCUUUUACCCGGGAUGAUAAUGACAUUACCGGGAGAAUAAGCUCCGGCUAACUCCGUGCCAGCAGCCGCCGUAA